UUUUAUCUUCUCUCCUCUGUUCUUCAGCCGCCUCCAUCCCCAAUUUUCCCUCUUUCUCUCUAACAGUCAAAAACUCAAAAACACAACUCCAAUCCUCUCUAUAAUUUUUUGCUCUCUCUAUAUCUCUUCACCGCAUGCUUGGACCUUGUCAAUAUCAAAAUCAAAUUUAGAUCUCUUUAUUUCUCUCCUAUCCCUCAGAUCUGAAAAUUUUCGUUUCCUUUUUCUGAUUUUGCCCUCUGAAAUUCCGGCCGAAAUGAACGAACUAUUAGCCUCCGAUUUCGGCUUCAAACCCCAAGGCAAAUCGGCUCCGAUGGCCGGUUCCAAAUCCACCUCCACCGUCGGAAGAUCGCCAACGCGUCCUCACUCCUCCUUCAAUUCCUUCAAGGAUCAUCGUCGGACGCCACCACCACGACUUCUUCCUCCUUCAAUUUCGAUAUGUUUCGCAAUUUCGGUGCUCCGGUGAAGUCUUCGUCUUCAUCAUUUUGCCUUUUUGGAUAGCUCCAAUUUAUUUGGCAUCAUGCAUAAAGCAGGGAAUGGAUUUGCUAGAGAUUUUAUUGAGCAAGCAACCUGUUCAAUUGAGCAGCUUGAGUAUUUAUUGUAUCCACAUUACCCCUCCUAAGUCCCCUGAUCUUACAGGACCAACACUAGUGCUUAGGUGUGAACCUUCAAUGAUCCAGAAUGCUCUUAAGGUCCAACAUGAUUUUGAUCAUCACCUCAGUAUCAGCAUGUUGCAACUGUUAAUGCACAUGUGGGAGUAAGUGCUAGGUCCGUGUUUGUGUGUGUGUGCUUGGUGUUUGAAAAGUGUGUAGAUUAAAGUAUUGUAGACAAAAACCACAGUGUGUAUGCGUGUGUGUGUGUGUGUAGCAAAGAGUCACAACAGAAUGCAUGUGUGUGUGAAGCAAAGAGUCACAACAGAAUGAAUGUGUGUGUGUGUCCACAUGGCAGUGGAGCCCUCUUAUUUUGAUAGAAUAAUCAAGAUAAUAAUAGGAAAAAGGUAUAUGAAUUUGAUGAUGGCACAUGAUAGGGGCUCAGAAUUUGGCUUUUGUCUGACACAAUUUAAUCUUCUUGUAGACAUUAUUUUCCUUUUAGAUCUGUGUCAUUCUUUAUUACUAGGAUGGAACCUUAAUUCAAAUAUUGUUGUGUUAUUGUUAGUAUUAUCAUUUCAUUUCUAAUAAAUUUAAAUGUUCUGUUGUAAUGACGAAUAAUUUACCAUUAGGGAUGUGAAUGGCUAUGCUGAAGCUAAUGCUUGAAGAAGGAUUUCUUUAGAUAAACAAGAGGUUGUUCAACACAGUUAUUCUUGUGCACCUGAGAGGUCAUUCUUGUAUCAUGGCCGUAUGUAUGUCUCUGCGUGACACAUUUGCUUCCAUUCAAAUAUUUUUUCUAAGCAAAUGAAGGUUAGCCUGUCAUUCUUUUUUCCUAAGGUUGAGCCAAUAUUAUUGUUAGCAAGCAAGUUUGAGACAAUAUUAUAUGGGUGUAUUAUUUCUUUUGAGGAUCUCUGGAGAGCAUCAUUGGUAUGAAUUACUUUUAGGAGGAGCUCUGAUCCUAAAUCACCCAUUCACUUUCAACGUAGUCAUCUCACAUAUAAAGGUGCAAGAAGAACAUAAGAUGGCCUUUUAUGUUUCUUUACAUUAGAAAGCUGCUGGUUUAGUUAAAUUUAUGAGUGAAUGGCUUCUUUUAUAGAUUACUGAAAUAGGCUGGAGUCAUCCACAAGGUCUUAUUAUGAGCUUUUUUAAGUUAUUGGUGUUUGAGGACUUUUUGUGUACAAAGAAAUACAUUUGAACAACUGCAUUUUUUGCCAUUGUUGGAGGAUAUUUUUAAACACUUUGAAACUUUGAUUAUAGAAUUAGCUUAAUUUAAGCAGUCCUUUUAUUCAAAGGACCACAUUUUUUUUUGUUAAUCUUAUGAUUGAUGGUUAUAGACAAUGUUAUGUAUUUGAUAAUAUAUUUCUAUGUUAAUAUUACGUUAGUUUCAAGACAUU